rnacentral:sRNA from 1 species
CCACUGGGUAAAUAAGUAAAUCAAUAAAUGACGAAGAGAAGACUCAAAAAUGACACGUUAAAUAGCUAUACUCUCCCGCUACCGUUGGUGUCAUAGGAAAUGUUAAUGACGGGAAACGCACGGGAACUGUACUGGAAUAGGAAUAUCUUGGGUUGAGUAUAUCGCUCAGCCAUUGAUAUUGGAGAGAUGGGAAUACAAAUAUUUAAUCCAACAGCUUCUAGUAUCGCUCCCUGAGGAAUUGAUGUGCCGAAUCCGGGAUUCAAGAUUCUAUCACGCUACAGAGUACAAAAUGGGCAUCUUAGAAAUUCCCGGACUCAUUUAUGUGUUAUAGCAAGGUAAUGAAUUGGUCAUUUCAAAUGGAUUGAAGAC